AUGGGUGGAUUUUGGAUGGACAAGGAGAUCCAGGACCAGCUCAACUUAUGGAUGAGCCGGAUUUUGGUCCUUUUGAGCUUCGCGGCGCAUCUCAUCCUCGCGGUGCUCGCCGAGUUCCGUCGGAGGGAAGGCUCGAGCUGGCGGAGGAGGCUGGUGUGGUUCGCGUACCAGGUGUCUGACAUGGCCCCGAAAGCCGCCCCCGGCAAGCUGUAUCUCGACAGCCCGUCGGACCACCAGGUGCUGUUUGCCUUCUGGGUUCCGUUCCUCCUGCUGCACCUCGGUCUCACCGACAACAUCAGCGCCUACUCCUUGGAGGACAACAAGCUGUCGUUGCGUAAAAUUGCAGAGAUCGGCCUGCAACUCGUGGGAGCUGUGUACGGCGCAUACAAGCAAAGAUUCAUGAGCAACGACAGGGUGGUGGAGAUGGAGCUCUCCGUCAUGUAUGACAUGAUGUACACCAAGGCAGCAGUGAUCCACACUAGGCCUGGCUACAUCAUCCGUUUCUUGUCGCCGCCCCUCACAUUCACGGCGUUCUUGCUGUUUUUCUUCCACAGUAAAGCGGGGCAGAAUGAAAUAGAUGUCAAGAUCACUUACAUGUUGCUGAUUGGUACCCUUUUGCUGGACGCGAGAUGGCUCCUCAGAUCACUGGUAUCCACCUGGACAUACACAUUCCUGCAAGGGACACAAUGCAACCUCCUCAAGAAGACAAUUCGCUUCCGGCGUGGGAUAUGGCAUGGCCUUCGAUCCUUCGUUUUCUCUCUAGACCUUUCCCGGCUCUUCAGAGUCAAUGAGCAAAUUAGUAGCCACAGGUUGUGGUCGCGCACCAUCGGGCAGCACAAUAUGUUGCACGAGUGCACCUGUGGCACACCAUCCAAGAAUAUUGGACGGAAGGACUCAUGGAAGGGCGAACCCGGGAUCAAGUCAAUCUUGCAAGUUAUAUGUAAAGACAUAUUGAAUCAAAUCCCGGUGCCCAUGGCGAUGCCGGUGCCCAUGGCGUCGCCCAGCUGGCCAGCCGAUGACCCUUACAAGUUGCGUAGGAAAUUCAGCGACGAGAGACUCUUUGGUCCUGAAUUCGAUGAGCUCGUCCUUACGUGGCAGAUCGCCACGGACAUUUUCUUCUUGUGCGCGCACGAAAGUGAUGAGUUGCCACAUUAUAAGAAGAUCAAGGCAGAGAUCAAGGCGAAGAUAAAGGCGAUAUCAGAUUACUUGAUGUUUCUCGUCGCUCAACGCCCCAGAAUGCUACCAGGCCUUAAGCUCCACAGCCAGUACGAAGACAUCAAAGAUGCUUUGGCGAGUAUAUGGAAGGAGCUUGGUUGCUCCCACCUCAGCGGUUGCAGGGAAAGAGAGAAGAAGCUUGCAGAGGGCCUGCAAGACAUGGAAGCCAUGCGCCAUUAUGAGCUUGACAGCAUGAGUACAAUGCUUUCGGAAGUUCCUCGAUCAAAUCGAGCCUACUUGCAAGUUAGGCGCAAGACGGCACUGCGUUAUACGAGCAGGAUGGGUGGAUUUUGGAUGGACAAGGAGACCCAGGAGCAGCUCAACUUAUGUCUGAGCAGGAUUUCGGUCAUUUUGAGCUUCGGGGCGCAUGUCGCCCUCGCCCUGUGCGCCGAGGUCCGUCGGAGUGAAGACUACAGCGUGCGGAGGGGCCUGGUGUGGUUGGCGUAUCAGCUGACUGACUUGGCCCCGAAAGCCGCCCUCGGGCAGCUGUAUCUCGACAACUCGUCGAGCGAACAGGUGCUGUUCGCGUUCUGGGUUCCAUUCCUCCUGCUGCACCUCGGUCUCGCCGACAACAUCAGCGCCUACUCCUUGGAGGACAACAAGCUGUCGAUACGCAAAAUUGCAGAGCUCUUCCUGCAACUCUUGGCAGCCGGGUACGGCGCAUACAAGCAAAAGUUCAUGAGCAGCGAUGGGGUUUUGUGCUCGGCGUUCGUCAUCAUGUUAUUGCUGGGUUUCUGUAAGUGUGCGGAGAGGCAACUUGCACUAUGGCUAGGUGGCUUCGCCCGACUCCGCAGCUCAUACAAGGAUAAGGAGGCAAGGCGCUUCAGUACUCCUGGCCAGAUUGGAAUGGCGGAGCUGGAUGAUGAUUAUGCCCUGCUUGAUGCUCACGGACUUCUUGGUAUCAGCAUGGCCGCCUUCGCUGAUUAUUCAGUAAAGCUGUUUGAGGAGGACAUAGAAGGCUAUUAUCCGCUCAAGCAUCCAAAACCCCGUCCUUAUUCCCAUUGGGAUGAUGUUGUCAAGGUGGUGGAGAUGGAGCUGUCUCUCAUGUAUGACAUGAUGUACACCAAGGCAGCAGUGAUCCACACUUGGCGUGGCUACAUCAUCCGUCUCUUGUCGCCGCCCCUCACAGCCACCGCCUUGUUGCUGUUUCAUUUCCACAGCAAAGCGGGGCAGAAGGAAGUAGACAUCAACAUCACUUACAUGUUGUUGAUUGGUACCUUUUUGCUGGAUGUGAGAUGGCUUCUCAGAUCACUGGUGUCCACCUGGACAUACGCAUUCCUGCAAGGGACACAAUGCAACCUCCUCAAGAAGACAAUUUGCUGCCGGCGUGAGAUAUGGUAUGGCCUUCGUCGCUUCGUUUUCUCUCUGGAUCCUUCUCGGCUAUCCAUAAGCAGCAGCGGCUGUCUCAAACUCAAUAAGCAAAUUACUAGCCAUAGGAUGUGGUCGCGGACCAUCGGUCAGCACAACUUGUUUCACGAGUGCACGUGUGGCACACCAUCGAAGAAGAUUGGAUGGGAGGACUCACCGAAGGGCGAACCCGGGAUCAAGUCAAUCUUGCAAGUUAUAUGUAAGGACAUAUUGCAGGAAAUCCCGGGGCCCAGCGCGUCGCCCUGGCCAGCCGAUUACCCUUACAAGUGGCGUAGGAAAUUCAGCGAUGAGAGACUCUUUGGUCCUGAAUUCGAUGAGCUCGUCCUUACGUGGCAGAUCGCCACGGACAUUUUCUUCUUGUGCGCGCCCGGAAGUGAUGAGUCGCCCGAGUAUAAGAAGAUCAAAGCGAAGAUCAAGAUGAUAUCAAAUUACUUGAUGUUUCUCGUCACUAAACGCCCCAAAAUGCUACCAGGCCUUAAGCUCGGCAGCCAUUAUGAAGACAUCAAAAAUGCUUUGAAGAGUAUAUGGGAGAAGGUCGAUCGCUCCGACCUCAGCGGUUGCAGAGGAAGACAGGAGAAGCUUGCAGAGGACCUGCUACACAAGGAAGACAUGCGACAAGAUCAUAUUUACCACAAGAGUACUAUGCUUUCGGAAGGUACUUGUUAUGCCAAUGUUCUGAAGAUGCUAAUUGUUCCUCAGCAAACAUGCUAUACCACUUGGUUCAGAAUUUGCUCACAAGCUCGGAUGAAAGAAGAAUACCAGAGAAGACUUAUAUUAUUGGUUCCGGAAUUCAAGGACUGCGCACUUGAGGAGUUGAGGCCGAUGGUUGGCUGGCCACUGGAACGCAUGUUAACCAUCAUCCUUAAGUCAUGGGUUCGUCUGCUCAUCUUUGCAUCCAUCCGCUGCAGCAGGGAUUCACACGCCGAGCAGCUCAGCUGCGGUGGUGAGCUCACCACCGUGAUCUGGCUCCUAGCUGAACACAGUGAACUAGUCGGCUAUGAGAAUCCGAUCCGAGACUACGUUAAUUAG
rnacentral:rRNA from 1 species